GUGCCCACAGUUUGCCCACCGGACGGCCCUGCUAGGUGGGAAGCUCCUUGCAGGCAGGAACCCCAUCUGCUUGACUUUACUUUGGAAUCUCCGCAGCCUCAUACGGGGCUGAGGCAGGUCCUUCCGUAAAAUGGAACUGAAUGAGCGGCGCCAUUCAGUUAAUCCAUCCGCCAAAGGCCAGUCUCCCUUGGGUUUUCAACAGCUGGAGAAAUAUCAAAAGAAUCUGAAUAUCACCAUCUGGAAGUUGUGCCAUGGACUCCAGUGGGCAGGAUUCGAGCUGGGAUUCUCUUCUUCCUCUAGCAGUGUAUUUCUUCUGCUUAAAAUGAGCACAAACACAUCUAAUUCCCUAAUGGACCAACU
rnacentral:lncRNA from 1 species